CUGGCCCUAAACGGUGCGUACUUGCUGUAAGCGGAUUCGACCCCGCUUGUGGCGAAGUUAACACGAUAAGUACGCCGCCUGGGAAGUACGGUCGCAAGAUUAAAACUCAAAGAAAUUGACGGGGGCCUGCACAAGCGGUGGAGUAUGUGGCUUAAUUCGAUGCAACGCGAAGAACCUUACCUGGUCUUGACAUGCACGUAGUAGAAGCCUGAAAGGGUAACGAGGUAGCAAUACCAGCGUGCACAGGUGC
rnacentral:rRNA from 1 species